rnacentral:lncRNA from 1 species
GCUGUUGGGGAUGCUGGCUGUGGCUGUUAUGGAGGACCAUUUCCAGAGAGGAGGAAAAGUCAGUCCAUUUUUCUUGUGCAUGGAGCAGAAUGUCAUGCAAGCAAGUGCACAUGCUGGUCUAGCCCAUGCUGGAAGCUUGAUCCAGGCAGGCACUCAACAGCUUUGCAUUCAAUGUGCCAAAAGCUUCUGAGAAUCUGGCUACUGAUUCUGGAAAACUGAAACCUGCCCAUGAGAUCUGGGAGUCCUGUUAUUGGAUACCUUACUGGCAUGGUCAUUUAAUGCCAGUCUUCAUUGUGGUUUCACUGGUGUGAGCAUAUUCUCACUAACAGCAAAACUGAGAGGUGUGUUUAAUUAAAGCUACAGUGCAGCCAAAAUAGCCUCAUGAGUGUGGUUGUGUUACGGCAGAGAUGGCUGAAAACUGGAUCUCAAUAGCUCUUAUCAGAAGACUAUCAAUUUCAGUUUCCUUAUCAUGAUCCAGCUUCAACUGCAGGGCAAAAAGCUGCUGCACUUUCAUAGAAAGUGUGCACUGGAUGCCUUGUCACAGACAAUAUCAAUUCCAGCACACACUUCCCCUACCCCCAAGUGAUUUCUAG